UACAGAGGUCUCAAGCGUUGUUCGGAUUCAUUGGGCGUAAAGGGCGCGUAGGCGGCGUGGUAAGUCGGGUGUGAAAUCUCGGAGCUUAACUCCGAAACUGCAUUCGAUACUGCCGUGCUUGAGGACUGGAGAGGAGACUGGAAUUUACGGUGUAGCGGUGAAAUGCGUAGAUAUCGUAAGGAAGACCAGUGGCGAAGGCGGGUCUCUGGACAGUUCCUGACGCUGAGGCACGAAGGCCAGGGGAGCAAACGGG
rnacentral:rRNA from 1 species